rnacentral:antisense_RNA from 1 species
GAUAGCCGAAGAUAAUCGCCGGGUUGAGGGUGGGGUUAGUGAUCACCCGUACGUCCCCACCACCGGGGGCCCAGGUGUCGUAUACACCGCCAAAGAACAUGGCUUUAAAGACCAGUAACAGAGCACCACAACCCAACAGGAUCAAGUGGUAGCCAAUGAUGUUGGUCAUCUGGUUUUUAUCUUUCCA